CAUGUGUAGCGGUGAAAUGCGUAGAUAUANGGAGGAACACCAGUGGCGAAAGCGGCUCUCUGNUCUGUCACUGACGCUGAGGCUCGAAAGCGUGGGUAGCGAACAGGAUUAGAUACCCUGGUAGUNCACGCCGUAAACGAUGAGUGCUAGGUGUUAGGCCCUUUCCGGGGCUUAGUGCCGGAGCUAACGCAAUAAGCACUCCGCCUGGGGAGUACGACCGCAAGGUUGAAACUCAAAGGAAUUGACGGGGGCCCGCACAAGCGGUGGAGCAUGUGGUUUAAUUCGAAGCAACGCGAAGAACCUUACCAGGUCUUGACAUCCCGAUGCUAUUCUUAGAGAUAGGUAGUUACUUCGGUACAUCGGAGACAGGUGGUGCAUGGUUGUCGUCAGCUCGUGUCGUGAGAUGUUGGGUUAAGUCCCGCAACGAGCGCAACCCUUAUUGUUAGUUGCCAUCAUUAAGUUGGGCACUCUAGCGAGACUGCCGGUAAUAAACCGGAGGAAGGUGGGGAUGACGUCAAAUCAUCAUGCCCCUUAUGACCUGGGCUACACACGUGCUACAAUGGUCGGUACAACGAGUUGCGAGCCGGUGACGGCAAGCUAAUCUCUGAAAGCCGAUCUCAGUUCGGAUUGGAGGCUGCAACUCGCCUCCAUGAAGUCGGAAUCGCUAGUAAUCGCGGAUCAGCACGCCGCGGUGAAUACGUUCCCGGGCCUUGUACACACCGCCCGUCACACCACGAGAGUUUGUAACACCC
rnacentral:rRNA from 1 species